rnacentral:rRNA from 1 species
UACGGAGGGUGCAAGCGUUAUCCGGAUUUACUGGGUUUAAAGGGUGCGUAGGUGGGUCUGUAAGUCAGUGGUGAAAUCUCCGGGCUUAACCCGGAAACUGCCAUUGAUACUAUAGGUCUUGAAUACUCUGGAGGUAAGCGGAAUAUGUCAUGUAGCGGUGAAAUGCUUAGAUAUGACAUAGGACACCAAUUGCGAAGGCAGCUUACUACGGGGUCAUUGACACUGAGGCACGAAAGCGUGGGGAUCAAACAGG